GAUGAAGAACGUAGCGAAAUGCGAUACUUGGUGUGAAUUGCAGAAUCCCGUGAACCAUCGAGUCUUUGAACGCAAGUUGCGCCCGAAGCCAUUAGGCCGAGGGCACGCCUGCCUGGGCGUCACACGUCGUUGCCCCCCCAUCUACUCCUUCGGGAUUGCGGGGGGCGGAUGAUGGCCUCCCGUGCGCCUUGUCGCGCGGUUGGCAUAAAUGCCAAGUCCUCGGCGACGCACGCCACGACAAUCGGUGGUUGCGAAACCUCGGUUGCCCGUCGUGUGCGGUCGUCGCGCAUCGAGGGCUCGAAAAAAUUGCCGGGUUCCGGCUCGGCUUUCAACGCGACCCCAGGUCAGGCGGGGUUACCCGCUGAAUUUAAGCAUAUCAAUAAGCGGAGGA
rnacentral:misc_RNA from 1 species